rnacentral:rRNA from 1 species
GAUGAACGCUGGCGGCGUGCUUAACACAUGCAAGUCGAACGGAGGGGUGAUUUCGGUUGCUCUUCAGUGGCGCACGGGUGAGUAACACGUAGCUGACCUGCCCUCAAGAGUGGGAUAACGGGUCGAAAGACCUGCUAAUACCGCAUAAGCUCACGCGCAUUAGAGGCGCGCGAGAAAAGGCGCAAGCCGUUUGAGGAGGGGGC